rnacentral:tRNA from 1 species
GUGUUUGUGCCAGAUAAAUGGGUUGGUUUUAAGCGCCGGUUAUGUAGUUAUUACUACCUUGCACU